rnacentral:tRNA from 1 species
UUGGAGUAUAGCCAAGUGGAAAGGCUUCGGUUUUUGAUACCGACAGGCAAAGGUUCGAAUCCUUUUACUCCAGA